GUCCCUGUAGCGCAAUGGAUAGCGCGUUGGACUUCUUAUCCAAAGGUCGUGGGUUCGAAUCCUCUCUGGGAUG